rnacentral:lncRNA from 1 species
UUUCCAAAUGAAAAGGUGGAGUUAUGUUGACAUGCGGAGAAAAGGUAGGUAUUAUUAAUUAAAGUUGUUUUAAGUCGACAAUGCAAACAGUGCUGCUGCAUAUAAAUUUGCUUCCACGGGCUGUCAGGCUGUUCUGUGGGGUUACACGAAUAUUUCUGGCAAUCCCAUUGGCUGGCGGUACAGGAGUGCAGCUUUCUGGUCCUCUUGAGGAGGUUAGUCUGCAGUCUCAGUUCACUGAGUCAGAGAAAAAGUACAUAUGCGCCCAGCCAGGUGUUUAGGGAUGGGUGAGGAAUACCAGGUUCAGCAGCCAGGGUCCUGUGGCUACUUGUUGGCAGAGCCAGAACCAGACUGGGUGUCUUUGAUUCCUGGGGGAUGCUUCUUCCUGACUCCCUGAACCCCAGGACCUACUUGGCCUGAUCUCUGAGCCUCAACUAUGGCUCCACACCCCUGCUACACCAAGAUUUUGAACGUCUGAACAAACAAGGCCAGAGAGGAGUAGCCCCAAGGGGUCCCUCCUCCCAGCUUGAUGCUGGUGAGUUACCCAGAGGCAGAGAGAGCUCUCUGAAUGAGGUGAACCCAGGUGGGAGUCAGCACCACUUGGCAAAUGUGUGGAUCUUUGACAUUCUCUUGCUAGCUCCCUUUCUCAGCUGGGGACUCCUUUAUAAUACUAUCAACCCUAGUGUUCUCUCUCUCUUUCCCCCUCUCUCCCCCUCCAUCUCUCUCUCUCCCUCCCUCCCUCUCUGCCCCCCACCCCCCCGCCUUGCCCACUCUCAUGGGAAAAGCUCUCAAGAGCCUUCUAAUGUUUUUAGUGGUUGGUUAAGGAUGACUGGUGUGACCCACUCAAGAUAGGUUAAUUUCAGAGUUCAGGCAAUGAGUUUUCCAGAGCCUGCCUCUUCCAACCCAGGCCACUGGAAAUUAAUAAAUGUUGGUUAUUGUUAUUUGGCCCAAUAACACAGAGAAUCGUGAUCUGCCUGGCCUAGUCAAUCUCCUAUUCUUUUGUUUAUUCAUUGUGACAUCAGAAGGCAAAAUGGGAAGCCAGGGCCAAAAUCACAAAGAGGCUGAUUUUACUUUGAAAUGAAGGCUUUUCCAAUAAUUGAAACUCUCUGGAAAAGGAAUGGCCAUAUCAAGGGGCUAUGAGGUUCCCGUGGCCAAAGGUAGUUGAAGAGAAUGACUGACUACUUACCAAAAUGUGUUGGAAAAGGCCGGUAGGUUUAAAAUAGAUGACCCCUAAGGUCUCAACUCUGAGCUAUUUAAUUUGCUUAUCCCUCCUAUGGACACGUUUCUGGAGUUGGGUCAGAGGUCAGGGGUCAACAGUCAGGCACCUCCAGUCCAUCUGUCGCCUUGGCUAACCCAAGCUGCUCUUCCACUAAAUCUGACCAGGAAUGUGUAGGUCAUGGCUUCAAGGAGAACAGCUGGGUGGAAUACAAGCUAAUGGGUCAGAGCUCCCAGAUGUCAGCUACGCUGUCACCGUGGACAAACUCAGCAGCAGCGACACCCAAAGGGUCUAUUUUGAUGAGAUUCUGAAACAAGAAUCCCUAAUGAUCUGCCCCAUCUAGAAUCAUAGGAAAAUGUGGCAGGGAUCUCAUCAUAUCAUUGGAAUGUGUGCCCUUGCCAAUUACUCUGGACGGAUGCUUCCUGAUGUAAACAAUCAGCUGAACAUAAAAUCUAAAUAAUAUAUUUGACACUUUACUCAAGACCAAAAAAGAUUGGCUAUUUAGGCAAAAAAAAGAAAAAAGAAAAAAACACCCAUCAGCCUUGUCGUUUUCCUGGCAAAUGUGCUAUGACUAAGUGGAUGUAUAUAAAACAGUUGACAUUAUUAGCAAGGAAUGGUCAGGCCGUUCCAACGGGCAAUUUACUCUCCAGGAAACCAGUAGGGCCUGUGCUAGAUACAUACUCUUUUUCCAGGUUACUCAGGGCCAUUUAGAAAAUUACUAUUGUUAUUCACAAAAUGCUCCACCAAAAUUUGAGCAAUUAACCCUCUCCCCAACUUGUCUCAUUUACCUGUUCCUCCAGUAAGAGGCAUGUGAGAGCUGAUAUGGCUCCUGAGUCUACAUAAUUUAAAAAGCUACUUUUUACUGAGUUCUUGGUAUGUUCCAGGCCCUCAGAGUGUGUUACAUACACCCUCAUGAAGUCUUCACAGCAACCCAAAUGUAUUAUCAUGCCUGUUUUCACUGAAGAGUAAACUGAGCCUCAGAAAGAAAAGUCAUUUGCCCACAGUCAUCCAGCAAAGUACUGGAUGUUCUUUUCUACCGGGAGGCACACCUAGGAUUUGAGUUGAGGUUUCACCUCAACUUAUCAAAGCCUUUACACAUGUCCUCUAUGUGGUCUUGCCUCACACAACGUGUCCUGUCCAUGAGGAGGAGGUGGGUCAUGGCCUGGUGUCACUGGCACAAAUCCUUGUCUUAAGGGAGCCGCAGAAUAUAUGUUACACUUCCAAUAGCUCACUCUCCCUCUCUUUUUUUUUCUUUCAUUUUUACAGCCACACCUGUGGCAGAUGGACGUUCCCAGGCAAGCGGUCAAAUCGAAGCCGCAGCUGCAGCAACACCAGAUCUGAGCCACAUCUGUGACUUAUGACGGAUCCUUAACCCACUGAGCGAGGCCAGGGAUUGAACCCACAUCCUCUUGGAUACUACAAGUCAGGUUCUUCACCUGCUGAGCCACAACAGGAACUCCCCAGCAGCAUACACGUUAUUGCUAAACAAAGAUUGUUGAGCAUCUCCUAAAGUACAAGAACAUAACUGCAGAUCAGACAAUGACAAAGACUGAAUAAUAGACUCCUAAUAUCAAUGACCAGAAAUUCCACAACAAUGUUUUCAGUCCAGAGUUUCUCAGCCCCCAGAUUGCAAACACACUAUUUAAAAAACUAAAAAGAUAGACCCAACAACCUAGUUCCCCAACAGCCCUGUUCCCUUAAGAAGGCAGCAGCCUACCACUCCUGUGAAACUUAGGAAACUCAGGGCAUAACUUCACAAUAUUGUUCACCAAACUGAGGAAGCAGCUUUUUAGUGGGUCACCAGGUGCUUUCUCGGCCCUUAAACUACUCAAAUGAGUAUGAUACUUCAGGUUGGUAUUAUUGAUAUGAUGUAAAUGCAGUUUUCCCGGGAGAGACUGCCUUUUAAAAUAGAUUUCUCAAGAAUUAAAGAGACUCACACAGCACCUCCUCUUCAUUAUAUCUAUGAGUCAAUGUGAAGCCUGUGAAGUGGUGUAACGCUUGCACCUCAGGUAAUGAACAAGCGAGUGGAUGGAUAAAUGGAUAGAUGGAUGAAUGGAGAAAAGAAACUCAUGGACUUGGAGAACAGACUUGAGGUUGCCAAGGGAGAGAGGGAGGGAGUGAGAUGGACUGGGAGUCUGGGGUUAAUAGAUGCAAACGAUUGCUUUUGGAAUGGAUAAGCAAUGAGAUCCUGCUGUCUAGCACUGGGAAGUCUAUCUAGUCACUUAUGAUGGCGCAUGAUGGAGAAUAAUGUGAGAAAAAGAAUGUAUAUAUGGGAGUUCCCAUCGUGGCGCAGUGGUUAAAGAAUCCGACUAGCAACCAUGAGGUUGCGGGUUCGGUCCUUGCCCUUGCUCAGUGGGUUAAUGAUCCGGCGUUGCCUUGAGCUGUGGUGUAGGUUGCAGAUGCGGCUCAGAUCCCGAGUUGCUGUGGCUCUGGUGUAGGCCAGAGGCUACAGCUCCGAUUCGACCCCUAGCCUGGGAACCUCCAUAUGCCGUGGGAGC